rnacentral:rRNA from 1 species
UAGGGAAUCUUCCGCAAUGGACGCAAGUCUGACGGAGCAACGCCGCGUGAGUGAAGAAGGAUUUCGGUUCGUAAAACUCUGUUGUUAGAGAAGAACAGCGCAUAGAGUAACUGUUAUGCGUGUGACGGUAUCUAACCAGAAAGCCACGGCUAACUACGUGCCAGCAGCCGCGGUAAUACGUAGGUGGCAAGCGUUGUCCGGAUUUAUUGGGCGUAAAGCGAGCGCAGGCGGUCAAUUAAGUCUGAUGUGAAAGCCCCCGGCUCAACCGGGGAGGGUCAUUGGAAACUGGUUGACUUGAGUGCAGAAGAGGAGAGUGGAAUUCAAUGUGUAGCGGUGAAAUGCGUAGAUAUAUGGAGGAACACCAGUGGCGAAGGCGACUCUCUGGUCUGUAACUGACGCUGAGGCUAGAAAGCGUGGGUAGCAAACAGG